AGCAGCCGCGGUAAUUCCAGCUCCAAUAGCGUAUAUUAAAGUUGUUGCAGUUAAAAAGCUCGUAGUUGAAUUUCGGGAUCAAUGGGUCGGUCGUGCCAAUGGUAUGUACUGGCCUCAUUGGUUCUCACCUUCUAAGGAACCAUGAUGUCAUUUAUUUGAUGUUGUGGGAAAUUAGGACUGUUACCUUGAAAAAUUAGAGUGUUUAAAGCAGGCUAACGCUUGAAUACAUUAGCAUGGAAUAAUGAAAUAGGACAUCCGAUUCUAUUUUGUUGGUUUCUAGGAUCGAUGUAAUGAUUAAUAGGGAUAGUUGGGGGCAUUAGUAUUCAAUUGUCAGAGGUGAAAUUCUUGGAUUUAUUGAAGACUAACUACU
rnacentral:rRNA from 1 species